rnacentral:lncRNA from 1 species
UCCUCUCUGUCUAGUUCACAACUCCAGAUGCUGUGGGGAGGUGGCAGCAGUCCAGUGGGGGCGGGACGCUAAGAUUCUCACAUUAACAAUGCACAGACAUCCGUCCAUCCGGCACUCCUGGGUCGUGUCCCUGAGAGUGACACAGGGUUUAGGUGGCACUUAAAAAACCUUUCCACCCGCUCUCUGAAUGUUCUGAUGCUCUUGGUGAGUAAAACAAAGUCUUUCAACACCACCUCCAUCUGAAUUGUAUACUUGAUCUUUCUGAGCUUGGCAAACAAACCAUCACCCACUCAGAACCUAGACAGGAAAGUGGCAGAUGAUUCAAGCUUCAUUAGGAACAAGUCAUGCCAAAAUAACUUCAUUUCUGGUUAUGAUGGGAUUACAGCUCAGAGAAUGCAGCAGAAAUAGCAUCCCAGGAUUUCAGUGAGUCAGCUGACAUCUUUAGGUCACUCUUUGAAUGAUACGAAAAAAUGAGGUCUGGAGAUAGUAAAAUUGAGCAAUGAGUAGCUGCUUGAUGGAUCAAUGUUAACUGCAGCUCAAAGAGAAGUGUCUGGUGAUGUGACCCAGCCUUCCGUCGCCUACUCUGUCACACUUAACUUGUCUCUCUGUCUUAGAAAAGAUGUGAGUGGCAACUGGUAAGCUACUCCAGGAGACAGAAUUAGGAUCCCAAA